UAGGGAAUCUUCCGCAAUGGACGCAAGUCUGACGGAGCAACGUCGCGUGAGUGAAGAAGGAUUUCGGUUCGUAAAACUCUGUUGUUAGAGAAGAACAGCGCAUAGAGUAACUGUUAUGCGUGUGACGGUAUCUAACCAGAAAGCCACGGCUAACUACGUGCCAGCAGCCGCGGUAAUACGUAGGUGGCAAGCGUUGUCCGGAUUUAUUGGGCGUAAAGCGAGCGCAGGCGGUCAAUUAAGUCUGAUGUGAAAGCCCCCGGCUCAACCGGGGAGGGUCAUUGGAAACUGGUUGACUUGAGUGCAGAAGAGGAGAGUGGAAUUCCAUGUGUAGCGGUGAAAUGCGUAGAUAUAUGGAGGAACACCAGUGGCGAAGGCGACUCUCUGGUCUGUAACUGACGCUGAGGCUCGAAAGCGUGGGUAGCAAACAGG
rnacentral:rRNA from 1 species